ensembl:snoRNA
GUAGGUUAAUGGGAUGUUGGCAGGCCCUUCUCCAUGGGCCUCUCACAGUGGACCCAUGCCAGAGUAACCGCAGCCUCGAACCAUGUCCAGCCCCUCGCCCGUGGGCUGUGAGCACUAAAGCGGAUUGUACAGUG